GACGAACGCUGGCGGCGUGCUUAACACAUGCAAGUCGAACGGAAAGGCUCCAGCUUGCUGGAGUACUCGAGUGGCGAACGGGUGAGUAACACGUGGGUAAUCUGCCCUGCACUCUGGGAUAAGCCUGGGAAACUGGGUCUAAUACUGGAUAUGACCUUUCUCCUUAUGGGGUUUGGUGGAAAGUUUUUCGGUGUAGGAUGAGCCCGCGGCCUAUCAGCUUGUUGGUGGGGUGAUGGCAUACCAAGGCGACGACGGGUAGCCGGCCUGAGAGGGUGAUCGGCCACAUUGGGACUGAGAUACGGCCCAGACGCCUACGGGAGGCAGCAGUGGGGAAUAUUGCACAAUGGGCGGAAGCCUGAUGCAGCGACGCCGCGUGAGGGAUGACGGCCUUCGGGUUGUAAACCUCUUUCAGCAGGGACGAAGCGUAAGUGACGGUACCUGCAGAAGAAGCACCGGCUAACUAUGUG
rnacentral:rRNA from 1 species